rnacentral:sRNA from 1 species
UGGCAAAAUGUUGUUCGUGCUGUGGAGU